AGAGACAGCAGCAGCCGCGGGAAUACGUAGGUGGCGAGCGUUGUCCGCAAUCAUUGGGCGUAAAGGGAGCGCAGGCGGGCCGGUAAGUCUUACUUAAAAGUGCGGGGCUCAACCCCGUGAUGGGAGAGAAACUAUCGGUCUUGAGUACAGGAGAGGAAAGCGGAAUUCCCAGUGUAGCGGUGAAAUGCGUAGAUAUUGGGAGGAACACCGGUGGCGAAGGCGGCUUACUGGACGACAACUGACGUUGAGGCUCGAAGGCGUGGGUAGCAAACAGGAUUAGAUACCCCCGUAGUCCCUGUCUCUUAUCAC
rnacentral:rRNA from 1 species